rnacentral:rRNA from 1 species
GAUUCUGGCUCAGGAUGAACGCUAGCUACAGGCUUAACACAUGCAAGUCGAGGGGCAGCAUGUGGUGCUGCAACCAAUGAUGGCGACCGGCGCACGGGUGAGUAACGCGUAUCCAACCUUCCCUAUAGUAGAGGAUAGCCCGGCGAAAGUCGGAUUAAUACUCUAUGUUUUCCAAUGCAGACAUCUAAAAUGGAACAAAGGUUUACCGCUAUAGGAUGGGGAUGCGUCUGAUUAGAUGGUAGGCGGGGUAAUGGCCCACCUAGUCGACGAUCAGUAGGGUUCUGAGAGGAAGGUCCCCCACAUUGGAACUGAGACACGGUCCAAACUCCUACGGGAGGCAGCAGUGAGGAAUAUUGGUCAAUGGGCGAGAGCCUGAACCAGCCAAGUAGCGUGCAGGAUGACGGCCCUAUGGGUUGUAAACUGCUUUUAUACAGGGAUAAAGUGACGUACGUGUACGUUAUUGUAGGUACUGUAUGAAUAAGGACCGGCUAAUUCCGUGCCAGCCGCCGC